rnacentral:lncRNA from 1 species
CGAGUCCAACCACAAAAAAAAAAAAAAANNNNNNNNNNCCCCUCAGCCUCCUCUUCUCCAAACUCAACAUGCCCAGUUCCCUCAGCCUCUCCUCAUAGGACUUGUUCUCCAGACCCCUCACCAGCUUGGUGGCUCUCCUCUGGACACGCUCCAGCACUUCAAUGUCUUUCCUGUAGUGAGGGGCCCAAAACUGAACACAGCCCUCGAGGUGAGGCCUCACCAGUGCCCAGUACAGAGGCACGAUGACUUCCCUACUCCUGCUGGCCACGCUAUUCUUGAUACGAGCCAGGAUGCCAUUGGCCUUCUUGGCCACCUGGGCACACUGCUGGCUCAUGUUAAGCCUGCUGUCUACCAACACCCCCAGGUCCUUUUCUGCUGGGCAGCUCUCCAGCCACUCUUCCCCAAGUCUGUAGCGUUGCCUGGGGUUGUUGUGACCAAAAUGCAGGACCAGGCACUUGACCUUAUUAAACCUCAUCCCGUUGUCCUUGGCCCAUUGAUCCAGUCUGUCCAGAGUGGCUCAGUGUUUUGGGGCUGUGACCCUUCCCAUACCCACCUCAGCUCUCCAGGUGAAACCCUCGCUCUCCUUUGCCUGUCCACGCUGCGUGACGGAUGCUGUGCCACAGGGAUGGAUCCUAAUGGAGUGUCAGGAGAGAAACAACAGCCUGAACAUCCCACAAUGAUUAGUUUGGGGCGUAGAGGAAUUAUUUUAUCGACAAAGCCGCUUCGUGAUUCUUUAUGGCUCAAUACAGCUGAUGUCCAGUCAUUGUUAGAGGAAUAAGGAGCGAGGCGUCGUUAGGAAGAUGACAUUUCCCAUAACAAGGAAAAAAAACCCAACUGUCAAAAACUGAUUUAAAAAAGAAGGAAGGUUUUUAAUAAGAUUUAUGGACAUAAGCAGCAGAGAAGAUCUCUGACACAAGACUUUUCGAGAUGCUCUGGACUAACAUUCUGCUUUUGAUCUAUAAGUUUAAAUGCCUAUUUUAGUCUGUCAUAGAUACUGCCUUGAGGUGUGUGGAGAGCUCACCAAAAUGCUUUUUGUCUGUCUGCUCAGCCAGAAAGAUGCAGUGAGGGUCUCUUUUCUUUCCCUGAGUCUAGGAUGUGA